rnacentral:tRNA from 1 species
GUGUCCAGGGAUGGGAAUCGAACCUACAAUUUUCCGCUUACCGGGCAGAUGCUAUGUCCACUAGACUACUGUAAGACGACA